UUCUCUCCCACCUCUCACUGCUUUUUUCUAGGGAGGAACUAAAGGUGCUGAACCAGAAGUAUCUUUAACAGCAUUCAUUCUGGUUGCAUUAUUGGAAUCCAGAUCAGUCUGCAAUGAACAUAUCAAUAUUCUAGACAGCAGCAUCAAUAAGGCCACAGAUUAUUUACUCAAAAAGUAUGAGAAA